rnacentral:rRNA from 1 species
AGAAUCAACGCUGGCGGCGUGCCUCAGACAUGCAAGUCGAACGCGAAAGUCCCCUUCGGGGGGCGAGUAGAGUGGCGCACGGGUGAGUAACACGUAGGUAAUCUACCUUUGGAUGGGGAAUAACAAUCGGAAACGAUUGCUAAUACCGCAUAAUGCAGCGGCACCUAAUGGUGACAGUUGUUAAAGCGGGGGAUCGAAAGACCUCGCGUCUAAAGAGGAGCCUGCGGCGGAUUAGCUAGUUGGUAAGGUAAUGGCUUACCAAGGCGACGAUCC